UACGUAGGGGGCAAGCGUUGUCCGGAAUCAUUGGGCGUAAAGAGCGUGUAGGCGGCCCGGUAAGUCCGCUGUGAAAGUCCAGGGCUCAACCCUGGGAUGCCGGUGGAUACUGUCGGGCUCGAGUCCGGAAGAGGAGUGUGGAAUUCCUGGUGUAGCGGUGAAAUGCGCAGAUAUCAGGAGGAACACCAAUGGCGAAGGCAGCUCGCUGGGACGGUACUGACGCUGGAGACGCGAAAGCGUGGGGAGCAAACAGG
rnacentral:rRNA from 1 species